CGAGCCGGGCGGGCGGCCGCGUGGAGGUCCUGGUGGAUCUCCCCGAGGAACGUCCGGGCUCCACAGGGCAGGGUGGUGGCUAACGGCCACCCGGGGUGACCCGCGGGACAGUGCCACAGAAAGCAAACCGCCGGGGACCGUAUGCGUACGGCCCCCGGUAAGGGUGAAACGGUGGUGUAAGAGACCACCAGUGCUCAGGGUGACCUGGGCAGCUCGGUAAACCCCACCCGGAGCAAGGUCAAAAGGGGCCGCUGUGAAAGGCGCGCCCUGCGCGGACGUUCGAGGGCUGCCCGCCCGAGUCCGCGGGUGGACCGCACGAGGCCGGCGGCAACGCCGGCCCUAGAUGGAUGGCCGUCGCCCCGAGGCCCGCGAGGACCCCGGGGAACAGAACCCGGCGUACAGCCCGACUCGUCUG
rfam:Streptomyces sp. NRRL F-5122 P360contig10.1, whole genome shotgun sequence.